UGGCGGACGGGUGAGUAACGCGUGGGUAACCUGCCUCAUACAGGGGGAUAACAGUUAGAAAUGACUGCUAAUACCGCAUAAGCGCACGGUUUCGCAUGGAACAGUGUGAAAAACUCCGGUGGUAUGAGAUGGACCCGCGUCUGAUUAGCUGGUUGGCGGGGUAACGGCCCACCAAGGCGACGAUCAGUAGCCGGCCUGAGAGGGUGAACGGCCACAUUGGGACUGAGACACGGUCCAAACUCCUACGGAAGGCAGCAG
rnacentral:rRNA from 1 species